rnacentral:rRNA from 1 species
CCUACGGGCGGCAACAGUGGGGAAUAUUGCACAAUGGGGGAAACCCUGAUGCAGCGACGCCGCGUGAGUGACGAAGUAUUUCGGUAUGUAAAGCUCUAUCAGCAGGGAAGAAAAUGCCGGUACCUGACUAAGAAGCCCCGGCUAACUACGUGCCAACAGCCGCGGUACUACGUAGGGGGCAAGCGUUAUCCGGAUUUACUGGGUGUAAAGGGAGCGUAGACGGCGGAACAAGUCAGAAGUGAAAACCCGGGGCUCAACCCUGGGAGUGCUUUUGAAACUGGUUGGCUGGAGUGCAGGAGAGGGAAGCGGAAUGCCUAGUGUAGCGGUGAAAUGCGUAGAUAUUAGGAGGAACACCAGUGGCGAAGGCGGCUUACUGGAGGGUAACUGACGUUGAGGCACGAAAGCGUGGGGAGCAAACAGGAUUAGAUACCCGGGUAGUC